CAGCCGCCACGGGAAUACGUAGGGUCCGAGCGUUGUCCGGAAUUAUUGGGCGUAAAGGGCUCGUAGGCGGUUUGUCGCGUCGGGAGUGAAAACCAGGUGCUUAACACCUGGCCUGCUUUCGAUACGGGCAGACUAGAGGCAUUCAGGGGAGAACGGAAUUCCUGGUGUAGCGGUGAAAUGCGCAGAUAUCAGGAGGAACACCGGUGGCGAAGGCGGUUCUCUGGGAAUGUUCUGACGCUGAGGAGCGAAAGUGUGGGGAGCGAACAGGAUUAGAUACCCCCGUAGUCCCUGUCUCUUAUAA
rnacentral:rRNA from 1 species